AUGCAUACAGACAGACAUACAGACAGACAGACAGAUAUACAUACAGAGACAGACAUACAUACACAGACAGGCAUACAUACAUACAUAGACAUACAUGCAUGCCUACAGACAGACAUACAGACAUACACAUACAUACAUACACACAGACAUACAUACAGACACACACAGACAUGCAUGCAUACAGACAGACAUACAUACACAGACAGACAUACAUACAUAGACAUACAUGCAUGCAGACAGAUAGACACAUACAGACAGACAUGCAUACAGACACACACAGCUCAUUUUCCAGCCACCCUCCUGUCUCUUACCUUUUCUUUGCAGGAGGG